rnacentral:rRNA from 1 species
UACGUAGGGUGCAAGCGUUAAUCGGAAUUACUGGGCGUAAAGCGUGCGCAGGCGGUUAUGCAAGACAGAUGUGAAAUCCCCCGGGCUUAACCUGGGAACCGCAUUUGUGACUGCAUAGCUGGAGUACGGCAGAGGGGGAUGGAAUUCCGCGUGUAGCAGUGAAAUGCGUAGAUAUGCGGAGGAACACCGAUGGCGAAGGCAGUCCCCUGGGCCUGUACUGACGCUCAUGCACGAAAGCGUGGGGAGCAAACAGG